UCAGGAUGAACGCUGGCGGCGUGCCUAAUACAUGCAAGUCGAACGAGUUCUGAUUAUUGAAAGGUGCUUGCAUCUUGAUUUUAAUUUUGAACGAGUGGCGGACGGGUGAGUAACACGUGGGUAACCUGCCCUUAAGUGGGGGAUAACAUUUGGAAACAGAUGCUAAUACCGCAUAAAUCCAAGAACCGCAUGGUUCUUGGCUGAAAGAUGGCGUAAGCUAUCGCUUUUGGAUGGACCCGCGGCGUAUUAGCUAGUUGGUGAGGUAACGGCUCACCAAGGCAAUGAUACGUAGCCGAACUGAGAGGUUGAUCGGCCACAUUGGGACUGAGACACGGCCCAAACUCCUACGGGAGGCAGCAGUAGGGAAUCUUCCACAAUGGACGCAAGUCUGAUGGAGCAACGCCGCGUGAGUGAAGAAGGCUUUCGGGUCGUAAAACUCUGUUGUUGGAGAAGAAUGGUCGGCAGAGUAACUGUUGUCGGCGUGACGGUAUCCAACCAGAAAGCCACGGCUAACUACGUGCCAGCAGCCGCGGUAAUACGUAGGUGGCAAGCGUUAUCCGGAUUUAUUGGGCGUAAAGCGAGCGCAGGCGGUUUUUUAAGUCUGAUGUGAAAGCCCUCGGCUUAACCGAGGAAGUGCAUCGGAAACUGGGAAACUUGAGUGCAGAAGAGGACAGUGGAACUCCAUGUGUAGCGGUGAAAUGCGUAGAUAUAUGGAAGAACACCAGUGGCGAAGGCGGCUGUCUGGUCUGUAACUGACGCUGAGGCUCGAAAGCAUGGGUAGCGAACAGGAUUAGAUACCCUGGUAGUCCAUGCCGUAAACGAUGAAUGCUAGGUGUUGGAGGGUUUCCGCCCUUCAGUGCCGCAGCUAACGCAUUAAGCAUUCCGCCUGGGGAGUACGACCGCAAGGUUGAAACUCAAAGGAAUUGACGGGGGCCCGCACAAGCGGUGGAGCAUGUGGUUUAAUUCGAAGCAACGCGAAGAACCUUACCAGGUCUUGACAUCUUUUGAUCACCUGAGAGAUCAGGUUUCCCCUUCGGGGGCAAAAUGACAGGUGGUGCAUGGUUGUCGUCAGCUCGUGUCGUGAGAUGUUGGGUUAAGUCCCGCAACGAGCGCAACCCUUAUGACUAGUUGCCAGCAUUUAGUUGGGCACUCUAGUAAGACUGCCGGUGACAAACCGGAGGAAGGUGGGGAUGACGUCAAAUCAUCAUGCCCCUUAUGACCUGGGCUACACACGUGCUACAAUGGAUGGUACAACGAGUUGCGAGACCGCGAGGUCAAGCUAAUCUCUUAAAGCCAUUCUCAGUUCGGACUGUAGGCUGCAACUCGCCUACACGAAGUCGGAAUCGCUAGUAAUCGCGGAUCAGCACGCCGCGGUGAAUACGUUCCCGGGCCUUGUACACACCGCCCGUCACACCAUGAGAGUUUGUAACACCCGAAGCCGGUGGCGUAACCCUUUUAGGGAGCGAGCCGUCUAAGGUGGGACAAAUGAU
rnacentral:rRNA from 1 species